rnacentral:rRNA from 1 species
CCAGAUCUCCUACGGGAGGCAGCAGUGGGGAAUUUUCCGCAAUGGGCGAAAGCCUGACGGAGUAACGCCGCGUGAGGGAUGAAGGCCUCUGGGCUGUAAACCUCUUUUAUCAAGGAAGAAGAUCUGACGGUACUUGAUGAAUAAGCCACGGCUAAUUCCGUGCCAGCAGCCGCGGUAAUACGGGAGUGGCAAGCGUUAUCCGGAAUUAUUGGGCGUAAAGCGUCCGCAGGCGGCCCUACAAGUCUGCUGUUAAAAAGUGGAGCUUAACUCCAUCAUGGCAGUGGAAACUGUUGGGCUCGAGUGCGGUAGGGGCAGAGGGAAUUCCCGGUGUAGCGGUGAGAUGCGUAGAUAUCGGGAAGAACACCAGUGGCGAAGGCGCUCUGCUGGGCCAUCACUGACGCUCAUGGACGAAAGCCAGGGGAGCGAAAGGGAUUAGAUACCCCUGUAGUCCUGGCCGUAAACGAUGAACACUAGGUGUCGGGGGAAUCGACCCCUCCGGUGUCGUAGCCAACGCGUUAAGUGUUCCGCCUGGGGAGUACGCACGCAAGUGUGAAACUCAAA